rnacentral:snoRNA from 1 species
CUGCUGCUAAAGUUUCCACUACAGAUGCAAGAAAAAGAAGGUCUUGCACUUUUUGUCUGUCUGGUUGUGGCAGCCAAAAUCGAAUGGGGAAAUACAGGA